AGCGAACGCUGGCGGCAGGCCUAACACAUGCAAGUCGAACGAACUCUUCGGAGUUAGUGGCGGACGGGUGAGUAACACGUGGGAACGUGCCUUUAGGUUCGGAAUAUCUCAGGGAAACUUGUGCUAAUACCGAAUGUGCCCUUCGGGGGAAAGAUUUAUCGCCUUUAGAGCGGCCCGCGUCUGAUUAGCUAGUUGGUGAGGUAAAGGCUCACCAAGGCGACGAUCAGUAGCUGGUCUGAGAGGAUGAUCAGCCACAUUGGGACUGAGACACGGCCCAAACUCCUACGGGAGGCAGCAGUGGGGAAUCUUGCGCAAUGGGCGAAAGCCUGACGCAGCCAUGCCGCGUGAAUGAUGAAGGUCUUAGGAUUGUAAAAUUCUUUCACCGGGGACGAUAAUGACGGUACCCGGAGAAGAAGCCCCGGCUAACUUCGUG
rnacentral:rRNA from 1 species